GCAGUCGAACGAGAGAUGAGGAGCUUGCUCUUCAAAUCGAGUGGCGAACGGGUGAGUAACGCGUGAGGAACCUGCCUCAAAGAGGGGGACAACAGUUGGAAACGACUGCUAAUACCGCAUAAGCCCACAGCUCGGCAUCGAGCAGAGGGAAAAGGAGUAAUCCGCUUUGAGAUGGCCUCGCGUCCGAUUAGCUAGUUGGUGAGGUAAUGGCCCACCAAGGCGACGAUCGGUAGCCGGACUGAGAGGUUGAACGGCCACAUUGGGACUGAGACACGGCCCAGACUCCUAUGGGAGGCAGCAGUGGGGAAUAUUGCACAAUGGGGGAAACCCUGAUGCAGCGACGCCGCGUGGAGGAAGAAGGUCUUCGGAUUGUAAACUCCUGUUGUUGAGGAAGAUAAUGACGGUACUCAACAAGGAAGUGACGGCUAACUACGUGCCAGCAGCCGCGGUAAAACGUAGGUCACAAGCGUUGUCCGGAAUUACUGGGUGUAAAGGGAGCGCAGGCGGGAGAACAAGUUGGAAGUGAAAUCCAUGGGCUCAACCCAUGAACUGCUUUCAAAACUGUUUUUCUUGAGUAGUGCAGAGGUAGGCGGAAUUCCCGGUGUAGCGGUGGAAUGCGUAGAUAUCGGGAGGAACACCAGUGGCGAAGGCGGCCUACUGGGCACCAACUGACGCUGAGGCUCGAAAGUGUGGGUAGCAAACAGGAUUAGAUACCCUGGUAGUCCACACCGUAAACGAUGAUUACUAGGUGUUGGAGGAUUGACC
rnacentral:rRNA from 1 species